GAAAUGCGAUAAGUAAUGUGAAUUGCAGAAUUCCGUGAAUCAUCGAAUCUUUGAACGCACAUUGCGCCCUCUGGUAUUCCGGGGGGCAUGCCUGUCCGAGCGUCAUUGCGAACCCCUCAAGCACGGCUUGUGUGAUGGGCCCUCCCGCGUCUUUGUCGUCAAGACGGGCCCGAAAUGCAGUGGCGGCUUCGCGGUUAUCCGAUCAGCCAGAGCGUAUGGGGACUUUCUCUCUGUCACACGCCCGCGGCGCGGACCGACGCCUGUCGACCUUUAUUCAUCUUUUGCUCGGUUGACCUCGGAUCAGGUAGGGAUACCCGCUGAACUUAAGC
rnacentral:misc_RNA from 1 species